rnacentral:rRNA from 1 species
CAGCAGUGGGGAAUAUUGCACAAUGGGCGCAAGCCUGAUGCAGCCAUGCCGCGUGUAUGAAGAAGGCCUUCGGGUUGUAAAGUACUUUCAGCAGUGAGGAAGUGGAUAUGUUAAUAGCAUAUUCAUUUGACGUUAGCUGCAGAAGAAGCACCGGCUAACUCCGUGCCAGCAGCCGCGGUAAUACGGAGGGUGCGAGCGUUAAUCGGAAUUACUGGGCGUAAAGCGCAUGCAGGUGGUUUGUUAAGUCAGAUGUGAAAGCCCGGGGCUCAACCUCGGAAUUGCAUUUGAAACUGGCAAACUAGAGUACUGUAGAGGGGGUAGAAUUUCAGGUGUAGCGGUGAAAUGCGUAGAGAUCUGAAGGAAUACCGGUGGCGAAGGCGGCCCCCUGGACAGAUACUGACACUCAGAUGCGAAAGCGUGGGGAGCAAACAGGAUUAGAUACCCUGGUAG